AGGAGAUUAAAUUACACUGAACAGGAAGUAUUUUGGAAUCAGCUAAGAAGAUCUGCGUUCUAUAGGUUUUCUAUAAAACAGAAUCUAGUUUGGAAUCCAAGGGCCAGAGUGUUUGGCAACCUAGAGGAGCAAAGAGUUCCAGUCAAGCCCCUGAGAGGCAAAUGCUUGGAAGGAUAAGGAAAGAAGAGCCUCUGUCUUCUCUCCAACAUCAGGGUAGACCUUGUUAACUUUGAAAGAUCUUGAAGUUUUGAACUUCCUUUUGGAAUGUUAGCAGUAAGAACAGCAAAAUAGCAAGAGUUGAUGACAGUGUCUAUCCUGGAAGAUGAACAUACUAAAUACACAGAAAAUGGAAUUUUCAGGACUUGCCAAGGAGCCCAGAAGAAAGUUACACCACAUCUAAGGAGAACUUCAUGAGGAUCUCAAGAAGGAGAGAAGAGGUUUUCCAGCAAAGGAUUUCCAGGAACUGAGUUACCCACUUUGCCACAACACCCGCACUAAAUUUAAUCCCAUUUUCCCCCAGAUUCUGUGUGAACUUGUGGGAGAAUGUAUCCCACACUUCUGGAGGAGAGAUUUGGAAGAAGUUGGACUUUUCUUCCACUGUGAACUUGAGAGCAACAAAGGGACAAAUCUCCUCAGAACUGCUUGGACUCUUCCAGCAAGAAUCCUCCACAUGUCCCUACUACCUUUAGGUGACAAAGUAUGUGGCACAGGAAGUGCUGAUUGCCUGCUGUGACUCUCAAUCCCAUUUCUUGCUGGGUUGUUUUGAGCUGCCCUGAGUCCUAUUCCCUAAGUUUGCUGAGCUUUCUUAUUUCUACCCUGCAGCCAUCCUUCCACAGCUGCUCCUUUACUUGGACUCUCAAUUUUUUGGAUCAUAACAUUGUCCUCUACAUAAUUCAAGACCUUCUUUGAUGUUGCCCGAUUAGCUGUAUUUGUAAUCCAAACGGUGUCUAGAGAGGAUUCUCCUGUAAGUAUGCCGCAGUGAGCAGCUAGAAUAUAGAAGGCUUUAGAUCUCACCUCACCCUGCACGAGCACCCCCACACCAUCUUUUCUACUGAAAUCUUAAGCCCAAAGAGUGCUCACCCCUCCAUAUUUCAAGGUAAUACUAUGUGGCCUGAGAUCACAAAAAUGCUUUUAAAAAUAUGAUUUGGGGCCAUUUUCUACAUACUGAAUUUUUCUUUUCUUGCCCCAUCUAGACAUUAUCCAGUUUACACUCAGACAGAAAGAAAUUAAACAGUCCCUUCUCUCAAGAAUCUUAAUUUCUAUUAAAGAGACUCUGUGUAUAGAUACAUAUCUACAUAUAUGCAUAGAAAGAGAGAAUAAUGGUGGCAGAGAAGAUAGAAGAAGGGAGUCUAGAGUGCUGGGCUUCAGAUUUCAUCCAGUAUUAGCCCCAUUGGUCAUUGUGUUUGUGUGGGUGUGUA
rnacentral:lncRNA from 1 species